CCUACGGGAGGCAGCUAGUAAGGAAUAUUGGUCAAUGGAGGCAACUCUGAACCAGCCAUGCCGCGUGCAGGAAGACUGCCCUAUGGGUUGUAAACUGCUUUUAUCCGGGAAUAAACCUGCUUACGUGUAAGUAGCUGAAUGUACCGGAAGAAUAAGGAUCGGCUAACUCCGUGCCAGCAGCCGCGGUAAUACGGAGGAUCCAAGCGUUAUCCGGAUUUAUUGGGUUUAAAGGGUGCGUAGGCGGCCUGUUAAAGUCAGGGGUGAAAGACGGUAGCUCAACUAUCGCAGUGCCCUUGAUACUGAUGGGCUUGAAUGGACUAGAGGUAGGCGGAAUGAGACAAGUAGCGGUGAAAUGCAUAGAUAUGUCUCAGAACACCGAUUGCGAAGGCAGCUUACUAUGGCCUUAUUGACGCUGAGNGACGAAGACGUGGGAGUACAACAAGAGUAGUAUACCUCGUAGUAC
rnacentral:rRNA from 1 species